rnacentral:rRNA from 1 species
GAUGAACGCUGGCGGCGUGCCUAAUACAUGCAAGUCGAGCGAACAGACGAGGAGCUUGCUUCUCUGACGUUAGCGGCGGACGGGUGAGUAACACGUGGAUAACCUACCUAUAAGACUGGGAUAACUUCGGGAAACCGGAGCUAAUACCGGAUAAUAUAUUGAACCGCAUGGUUCAAUAGUGAAAGACGGUUUUGCUGUCACUUAUAGAUGGAUCCGCGCCGCAUUAGCUAGUUGGUAAGGUAACGGCUUACCAAGGCAACGAUGCGUAGCCGACCUGAGAGGGUGAUCGGCCACACUGGAACUGAGACACGGUCCCGACUCCUACGGGAGGCAGCAGUAGGGAAUCUUCCGCAAUGGGCGAAAGCCUGACGGAGCAACGCCGCGUGAGUGAUGAAGGUCUUCGGAUCGUAAAACUCUGUUAUUAGGGAAGAACAAAUGUGUAAGUAACUAUGCACGUCUUGACGGUACCUAAUCAGAAAGCCACGGCUAACUACGUG